GUGUUUUGUGGGGGGCGGGGGUGUUGCAGGAGUAGUGGCGGAAGAGACCGAGCUCUGUGCUCCUCCUGUCCGGAGGCGGUUGUUUUCCGAAAUGGAAAGAACUGAAAAUAAAUAAACCUUCUGUUUGAGUGAAGUUUCCUUUCGGAUUCCAGCGUUGUUUUCAUCUCUGUGUCCUCUAGCAAGUCAGCAUCCAGAAGACUAGAAGAGAAAAAAAAAAUAACUCAACAUUCAACAACAAGAAGCAAGAAGGAGUGAACAGUGUGUGCUCGUCUGCUGAAGAAAGCACGGGUUCGAGUUUGUGUGGGCGCGCUUUGGGCGAUUUUUCAUUUACAUUCGUGUACGACGAGGGCGACGGCGGCUACCACCACCCCCACCACCACCGGAAAAGUGUAAAAAGAUCCCAAGUGUGGGAGGGAAGAGGAAAAACCGGGUUGGCGGAAAAUCAAACGUCUGUUGCCUGUCUCCCAGAAGAGAAGAAUUAGAAGAAAAGGGGAAAAACGGUUGGCGUUUCUUUGCCAUCGGGGGUUGGAGCAGCGGCGCAGCACGUAUGAUCUGGGUGAAAAAGGCAGCCUACAGUCGUCCGAAGAAAAGUGGAAAAUAGAAUGAUGCUGUCAAACAUGUUGGAUUUACGACCCGCGUUGGUGUUGACGCUCCUCACGACGAUAGAUUUCGUGAUCCCACUGAAGGAUGUCCGCGUGAGCGUGCCGGCAGCCAUCCGGCGAGGCGAUAAUGCAAAUUUGAUCUGCGAUUACGACAUGGAAGGGGACACACUCUACUCCGUCAAGUGGUACAAAGGCAAGCGGGAGUUUUUCCGCUACCGGCCGAAGGAGAAUCCAUCGCUGAAGACGUUCCCGGUACUUGGCAUCACCGUCGAGCGUUCGCAGUCCAACGGAAGUUAUUUGACGCUGACCGCAGUGGAGCCAACGAUGUCCGGUCGUUACACUUGCGAAGUGUCCGCAGAUGCGCCCUCCUUCCACACAAUGAUUGUCUCCAGCGAGAUGGAAGUUGUGAAUAUUCCCAUGAGCAAACCGCUCAUCUCGGGACUGAAGCCGUACUACCGGAUAGGAGACCUGCUAAUGGGAAACUGUACAUCUUACUAUUCGAAACCUGCGGCCAAUCUGACGUGGCUCGUCAAUGGCAAUGAGGUCAGCCCGAAGCAGACGGUCCUGUACUCCAUCGUUCGGGAUCCGGACAAUGGUCUGGAAACGUCCAUCCUGGGAUUGUUCUUCCAAGUCACCAAUUACUAUGUGGGCCGCAGCAAGCUGAAGUUCACAUGUGUGGCCCGAAUUUACAACGUGUACGAGCAGCGCACCGAGCGGACCCUGGAAGACGAACGGCCCAACAUGCUGGCAGCGUCAGCGUCGGCGUCCGCAUCACCGGUGGGCCUCAACGUGAACAACCACCACAUCCACUCGCUGUACGAACAAUUUCCGGCGUCUUCCUAUCACCACCUCGACAGCGGCGGCGGGGGCGGCGAUUUCGACAAUCAAAACAGCGAUGCCUACAUGA